rnacentral:rRNA from 1 species
AUUGAACGCUGGCGGCAUGCCUAACACAUGCAAGUCGAGCGGAUGCAGGGGGUUCGCUCCUGGAUUCAGUGGCGGACGGGUGAGUAAUGCCUAGGAAUCUGCCCGGUAGUGGGGGAUAACGUCCGGAAAGGGGCGCUAAUACCGCAUACGACCUGAGGGUGAAAGUGGGGGAUCUUCAGACCUCGCGCUAUUAGAUGAGCCUAGGUCGGAUUAGCUAGUUGGUGGGGUAAAGGCCUACCAAGGCGACGAUCCGUAACUGGUCUGAGAGGAUGACCAGCCACACUGGGACUGAGACACGGUCCAGACUCCUACGGGAGGCAGCAGUGGGGAAUAUUGGACAAUGGGCGAAAGCCUGAUCCAGCCAUGCCGCGUGUGUGAAGAAGGUCUUCGGAUUGUAAAACCCUUUUAGUUGGGAAGAAAAGCAGUUGGUUAAUACCUUGCUGUUUUGACGGUACCAACAGAAUAAGCACCGGCUAACCUCGUG